AACGAACGCUGGCGGCGUGUUUUAAGCAUGCAAGUCGAACGGGAACCUGAAGCUUGCUUCAGGGGGAAGUGGCGAACGGGUGGGUAACACGUGGGUAAUCUACCCUCGGAUGGGGGAUAGCACUAGGAAACUAGUGGUAAUACCGCAUAUUAUCGCUCUAUCAUAAGAAAGAGUGAUUAAAGGCGCCCUCUGCAUAUGGUGCCGUCUGAGGAUGAGCCCGCGGGCUAUUAGCUAGUUGGCAGGGUAACGGCCUACCAAGGCUACGAUGGCUAGCCGGCCUGAGAGGGUGUACGGCCACAUUGGGACUGAGAUACGGCCCAGACUCCUACGGGAGGCAGCAGCUAAGAAUAUUCCGCAAUGGGCGAAAGCCUGACGGAGCGACGCCGCGUGGACGAUGAAGGCCUUCGGGUUGUAAAGUCCUUUUCCUGGAGAAGAAUAAGGCCGGUAGUAACUGACCGGACGAUGACGGUAUCCAGGGAAUAAGCCCCGGCUAAUUACGUGCCAGCAGCCGCGGUAAUACGUAUGGGGCAAGCGUUGUUCGGAUUUACUGGGCGUAAAGGGCUUGUAGGUGGUGUUCCAAGUCGGAUGUGAAAUCUCCGGGCUUAACCCGGAAAUUGCAUUCGAAACUGGCUCGCUAGAGUACUGGAGAGGGAAACGGAAUUCCUGGUGUAGGGGUGAAAUCUGUAGAUAUCAGGAAGAACACCGGUGGCGAAGGCGGUUUCCUGGCCGGAUACUGACACUGAGGAGCGAAAGCUAGGGGAGCAAACAGGAUUAGAUACCCUGGUAGUCCUAGCCGUAAACGUUGUGCACUAGGUGUAAGUGGUUUUUUCCACUUGUGCCGAAGCUAACGCAUUAAGUGCACCGCCUGGGGAGUAUGCUCGCAAGGGUG
rnacentral:rRNA from 1 species